GGAUGAGCCCGCGGCCUAUCAGCUUGUUGGUGGGGUAAUGGCCUACCGAGGCGACGACGGGUAGCCGGCCUGAGAGGGCGACCGGCCACACUGGGACUGAGACACGGCCCAGACUCCUACGGGAGGCGGCAGUGGGGAAUAUUGCACAAUGGGCGGAAGCCUGAUGCAGCGACGCCGCGUGAGGGACGACGGCCUUCGGGUUGUAAACCUCUUUCAGCAGGGACGAAGCGCAAGUGACGGUACCUGCAGAAGAAGCACCGGCUAACUACGUGCCAGCAGCCGCGGCCG
rnacentral:rRNA from 1 species